AACGAACGCUGGCGGCAUGCCUAACACAUGCAAGUCGAACGAGACCUUCGGGUCUAGUGGCGCACGGGUGCGUAACGCGUGGGAACCUGCCCUUAGGUUCGGAAUAACUCCCCGAAAGGGGUGCUAAUACCGGAUAAUGUCUUCGGACCAAAGAUUUAUCGCCUUUGGAUGGGCCCGCGUUGGCUUAGCUAGUUGGUAGGGUAAAAGCCUACCAAGGCGACGAUCCAUAGCUGGUCUGAGAGGAUGAUCAGCCACACUGGGACUGAGACACGGCCCAGACUCCUACGGGAGGCAGGAGUGGGGAAUAUUGGACAAUGGGCGAAAGCCUGAUCCAGCAAUGCCGCGUGAGUGAUGAAGGCCUUAGGGUUGUAAAGCUCUUUUACCCGGGAUGAUAAUGACAGUACCGGGAGAAUAAGCUCCGGCUAACUCCGUG
rnacentral:rRNA from 1 species